rnacentral:rRNA from 1 species
UACGGGGGGGGCAAGCGUUGUUCGGAAUUACUGGGCGUAAAGGGCUCGUAGGCGGCCAACUAAGUCAGACGUGAAAUCCCUCGGCUUAACCGGGGAACUGCAUCUGAUACUGGAUGGCUUGAGAUUGGGAGAGGGAUGCGGAAUUCCAGGUGUAGCGGUGAAAUGCGUAGAUAUCUGGAGGAACACCGGUGGCGAAGGCGGCAUCCUGGACCGGUAUUGACGCUGAGGCGCGAAAGCCAGGGGAGCGAACGGG